rnacentral:tRNA from 1 species
GCCAGGAUGGCAGAUCGGCUAUGCGCCCGCCUGCAGAGCGGGAAAGGGGGGUUCAACUCCCUCUCCUGGCU